CCUACGGGAGGCAGCAGUGAGGAAUAUUGGUCAAUGGGCUUACGCCUGAACCAGCCAAGUCGCGUGAGGGAAGACUGCCCUAUGGGUUGUAAACCUCUUUUGUCAGGGAGCAACGCCGGCUACGUGUAGCCGGACUGAGAGUACCCGAAGAAAAAGCAUCGGCUAACUACGUGCCAGCAGCCGCGGUAAUACGGAGGAUGCGAGCGUUAUCCGGAGUUAUUGGGUGUAAAGGGUGCGUAGGCGGAAUGCCAAGUCAGCGGUAAAAUCGCGGGGCUCAACCUCGCUCCGCCGUUGAAACUGGCGUUCUUGAGUGGGCGAGAAGUAUGCGGAAUGCGUGGUGUAGCGGUGAAAUGCAUAGAUAUCACGCAGAACUCCGAUUGCGAAGGCAGCAUACCGGCGCCCAACUGACGCUGAAGCACGAAAGCGUGGGUAUCGAACAGGAUUAGAUACCCUUGUAGUC
rnacentral:rRNA from 1 species